rnacentral:rRNA from 1 species
UACGUAGGAGACGAGCGUUAUCCGGAUUUACUGGGCGUAAAGCGCGGGUAGGUGGGGUCUUAAGUCAUGCGUGAAAGCUCUCGGCUUAACCGGGAGAGGUCGUGUGAAACUGGGGCUCUCAGAGGUAGGUAGAGGCAGAUGGAAUUCCGGGUGGAGUGGUGAAAUGCGUAGAGAUCCGGAGGAACACCAGUGGCGAAGGCGGCAUCCUGGACCAUUACUGACGCUGAGGCGCGAAAGCUAGGGGAGCAAACGGG